rnacentral:rRNA from 1 species
UUGGAGGGCAAGUCUGGUGCCCGCAGCCGCGGUAAUUCCAGCUCCAAUAGCGUAUAUUAAAGUUGUUGCAGUUAAAAAGCUCGUAGUUGAAUUUCGGGAUCAACUUACUGGUCGUGCCUAUGGUACGCACUGGUUUUGUUGGUUUCUCCCUUCUGACGGAUCACGAUGUCAUUAAUUUGAUGUCCUGGGGAAUCAGGACUGUUACUUUGAAAAAAUUAGAGUGUUUAAAGCAGGC